rnacentral:rRNA from 1 species
UACAGAGGGGGCAAGCGUUAUUCGGAAUUAUUGGGCGUAAAGGGCGCGUAGGCGGCUUGGCAAGUGGAAGGUGAAAUCCCUCGGCUUAACCGAGGAACUGCCCUCCAAACUGCUUGGCUUGAGACCGGGAGGGGUGAGUGGAAUUCCCAGUGUAGCGGUGAAAUGCGUAGAUAUUGGGAGGAACACCAGUGGCGAAGGCGGCUCACUGGACCGGUACUGACGCUGAUGCGCGAAAGCGUGGGGAGCAAACGGG